GGCACAGCCUCCUCCGAUGGUAUCGACUAGGAACUCGCCCAGCCCCAGCACGACGGAGACGUCCUCCAUGACGCCGCGCUGCAAAAGCCUUAGUGGUGGAAAUUCAUCCAGGCAGCAACAUUUGGUAAAGAAGGUGUCUUGUAAAGAAGUGGUUAUUGGAGCCCUACAUGGCCCAUCCUCGUGCGGCUCCGCAGCUCGCAUAGUCUAUCACCAACUGGCUCGGGUGGCGCGGCUUGCCUCUGGUAAAGAAGAAAAGACCCAUACCUGAAGUAAUUAAUUUGUCCUUGUGCUCGCCCUUGCCAGCUCACUGUCUCCCCAGGCAUGCUGCUGAUCUGACCUGCAGUAGAGCUGAUGCUCCAAAUGCCUCCGCGUGUCCGAAACUCAUGUUGUUGUUCCAGUGGUGGCGUUGGUGCCCUCCGUUGGUGUUCCGGUGGGGGGUGCCCUCAGGUGUCGUGGUGGUGGUGGUGUCAACCGGAGCUCCUGCUGAUGACCACGGGAGCUGCUGUUGGUGCUGCCGGCAUCCAGUACAAGCUACUGCCCCUGCCUUCUUCAACCUGGACAUCUCCUAUAUCACAAUGCCCCCUCGGAAGCACACCACGGUCGAGGCUGCAGCUGCCUCCUCCUCUCCCCAACGCAUUCCCCUCCAAUCUCCCCACCCAGCACACCACGACCACGAACGAGCCGGCCGAGCACCCCUCUCUAUUCCACGCCGAGGAACAGCCAGUCCGCAACACCACCUCCAGCCCUAGCCAGAGUUCAAGCCGAGGCCUUUG